GUAACGAAUCGAAUAAAAGUUCGCAGGUUUCAUUUUUCGCUCAUGUCCUUUAACCUGAAGUGUUGGUUCGAAUCCAGCUCGUGACA
rnacentral:tRNA from 1 species